rnacentral:lncRNA from 1 species
GCUCGGGCGGUCAGGAGCCAGGAGGGACAGGAAGGAUGACAGCCCAGCCUCUCGCCUUCCGAAGCCCCUCGGUGACUUUCACGCACAGCCUUUCUUUUCCUUCCCUCUUAAGUUUGUCUCUGGGACGACCCCUACCCCGCGAAACUUUCGGUGGAGCCUGGGCACAUGACGCAGCCUCUUCUCUCCAUCUCGGAGGCUGUUUCUGAGCGUUUGUCCUUCUGCUCCUGAACCGCUCCCGCGUUCCUCGGGCGACUGCCCGACGCUCCAGGCAUCAUGGGGGAGCAGGGCCCUGAGGGGACACUCACAGCAGGUAAAAAUCUUAUUCAAACAAAAAGUAACUGAAAUGCAUCCUACAGUGUCCUGCCCACUGGGCUUCAUGUCCUCCAUCCCCAGCUGACGCCUCUACCAGGGCCCGGGGCUCCCCAGAGCACAGCUCGGAAAUCACCAGGCUGGACGUGCUGGAGGCCCCGUUAGGCUCUGGCAGUCUGGGUCCUGUGGCGUGGGGAUUUCAGGAACGGCCCCAGGAGAGAAGAGAGCCCGCAGCAGGGCAGCCUGGUCCCUGCAGGUGGUCUCAGCAGCAGCAGAGGGCUGGGGGACAAGGAAGAUGCAGAUAGUGCUACCACCAACGGCAGCUGCUCAGGCUGCGGUGGCCCCGCGGCCUCACUUCCCUAAGAGCAGCUGGAGAGAACAGAGGGAUGGUCCCAACACCCGGCCGCCCUGGGAGGUGAGGUGCAAGAGGAAGCCACGUUCAGGUCUUUGCAUUUUUUUUUCAGUGCCAUAGAAAGUUAUUGGAGGGUUUUAAAUACAGCAUGAUCUGAUUGACACACUCAGAAGAUUUACAUGUUUAAAUGACUCCAGCAUUAAGUUGGAGAGUGGAUUGACAGGAUAAGCCUGGAAAGUUCAUUCACUAGUCUUGCUGAGAGAUGAUGCGAUGUCUAACAGAACUGAAACUUUAGGUCCACACAAAAACGGGUACAGGAAUGUUCAUAGGAGCACUAUUCAUAAUAGCCCCGAAGUGGAGACAACUCUAUUGUCCAUCAGCUGAAGAAAGGAUAAAUAAAUGUAGGAUAUCCAUACAGUGGGAUAUCAUUUGGCCGUAAAGGAAUAAAGUACUGGUACCGGUAUGCACUGCAAGAUGGAUGAACCUUGAAAACAUCAUGCUAAGUGAAAGAAGCCACUCACAAGAGACCACAGAUUAUAUGAUCCCAUUAUACGAAAUGUCCAGAAGAGGCACGUCUACAGAGAGAGAAAGGAACUGGUCAUCAGGGCUAGGUGAGGAGGGCGAGUGGGGAGUGAGUGCUAAUGGGUAUGGGGCUUCUUUUGGAGAUGAUUAAAA